UGAACGGCCACAUUGGGACUGAGACACGGCCCAGACUCCUACGGGAGGCAGCAGUGGGGAAUAUUGCACAAUGGGGGAAACCCUGAUGCAGCGACGCCGCGUGGAGGAAGAAGGUCUUCGGAUUGUAAACUCCUGUUGUUGAGGAAGAUAAUGACGGUACUCAACAAGGAAGUGACGGCUAACUACGUGCCAGCAGCCGCGGUAAAACGUAGGUCACAAGCGUUGUCCGGAAUUACUGGGUGUAAAGGGAGCGCAGGCGGGAAGACAAGUUGGAAGUGAAAUCCAUGGGCUCAACCCAUGAACUGCUUUCAAAACUGUUUUUCUUGAGUAGUGCAGAGGUAGGCGGAAUUCCCGGUGUAGCGGUGGAAUGCGUAGAUAUCGGGAGGAACACCAGUGGCGAAGGCGGCCUACUGGGCACCAACUGACGCUGAGGCUCGAAAGUGUGGGUAGCAAACAGGAUUAGAUACCCUGGUAGUCCACACCGUAAACGAUGAUUACUAGGUGUUGGAGGAUUGACCCCUUCAGUGCCGCAGUUAACACAAUAAGUAAUCCACCUGGGGAGUACGACCGCAAGGUUGAAACUCAAAGGAAUUGACGGGGGCCCGCACAAGCAGUGGAGUAUGUGGUUUAAUUCGAAGCAACGCGAAGAACCUUACCAGGUCUUGACAUCCAACUAACGAAGUAGAGAUACAUUAGGUGCCCUUCGGGGAAAGUUGAGACAGGUGGUGCAUGGUUGUCGUCAGCUCGUGUCGUGAGAUGUUGGGUUAAGU
rnacentral:rRNA from 1 species